rnacentral:snRNA from 1 species
GGGCUCACUUCUGCAGCACAGAUACCAAAAUUGGAGCCAUACAGAGAAGAUUAGCACGGCCCUUGCACAAGGAUGACAUGCAAACAUGCAAAUUUGGGAAGCGUCCCAUAUUUUA